rnacentral:rRNA from 1 species
CCUACGGGAGGCAGCAGUGAGGAAUAUUGGUCAAUGGCCGGAAGGCUGAACCAGCCAUGCCGCGUGAAGGUCAGUGCCCUAUGGGCGUUAAACUUCUUUUGUGCGGGAGCAAUAAUGGUCACGUGUGGCCAGACGAGAGUACCGUACGAAUAAGCAUCGGCUAACUCAGUGCCAGCAGCCGCGGUAAUACGGGGGAUGCAAGCGUUAUCCGGAUUUAUUGGGUUUAAAGGGGGCGUAGGCUGUGAGGUAAGUCAGCGGGGAAAUGCCCCCGCUCAACGGGGUGAAGUGCCAUUGAUACUGCCUUGCUGGAAUGCGGAUGCCGUGGGAGGAAUGUGUGGUGUAGCGGUGAAAUGCAUAGAUAUCACACAGAACACCGAUUGCGAAGGCAUCUCACGAAUCCGCGAUUGACGCUGAUGCACGAAAGCGUGGGUAUCAAACAGGAUUAGAUACCCGAGUAGUC